GUGUAUGAGUUUUAUGUUGCAGGGGAAGCAUUGGAAGCUUGCCCUUCACAAAAUUUUCCGUCUAAUGUGAACACUAACCCUGUCAGAAAUUAGUAAAAAUUUCCGUCCACCCUGCACCCAAAACGGACCCGCUCUCUAAGGAAUUAGGGGGAAUCUCUCACUCUCGGUCUAAGCAAUCAGUGGAAAAUGCUCUUUCUCUAAUAGAGGCGACUGGGGCAACUACUAUCUCUAUUCUGGGGCGCACCCUGAGGCCAAACCAUUUCAAAGAAGGAUUUUGCCUCUCCAUGAGUCACUGGGGAUAAUUUUUGGCAAUCCAACAGCGGAUGGUUCAUGUAUACUCUCAAGUCAUAAUGGAGAAGCCUCAAAAGAGGCCAAUGAUGUGAUGUUGACCCUACAAUCUCCAACUACAUUUUCUGAUUCACCAGAUGUCUUGCAUGAGGACUCUUUAGGUUCAAGAGAUGAUGAGAGUACACCAAUUCAACCGAAACAUCGCCGGUCUACAGAAUCAUUACGAUUGUUCCAUGGCAAAAGAACAAGAAAGGGUCCCGGUGAGAUUAUGGCUGAAGCCUUGCAAGAGAUUGCAGCCAGCGCAAGGUAUAGAGUGACUAUGAGUGUGGCAAAUGGAAGGAGGCAUGAUACAAUGAAAGACAGAAAGAGCUUUGAGUGCGGGAAAUGUGAGGAAGAAUAAGCAUGAUAUAAUGAAGAGCAUAAUAGAAGAGCUGGAGACAAUGGACGACUUGGAUGAUGAUCUCUUCCUAGAAGCUUGUGAAAGGUUGAAGGAUAAAAAAGAUGCUUCUAUAUUUGUGGCACUCAAGGGUGAACGACGUUUGAAGUGGGUGAAAAAGAUAUGUGGUGCACUAUAGCCUUUUGCGGUGUUCACACUGUGUGGACCUUAUAUACUGUUAUUUUGGUUUCCUUGUAGUGUUUCAAUUCUUUUUGUCUGGGUUAGUUGCAGUAGCAAACACCAUAUUACUUUUACAUUCUCUUGAUGGUGGCUUUCCCCACUUUUUCUUGUAUAUCCUUAUGACAAUUGGAAGAGGUUAUCGUAAUAGUGGAUUGUUUUGUUUUGGGA